rnacentral:rRNA from 1 species
GAAGUUUUCAGAGAUGAGAAUGUGCCUUCGGGAACCGUGAGACAGGUGCUGCAUGGCUGUCGUCAGCUCGUGUUGUGAAAUGUUGGGUUAAGUCCCGCAACGAGCGCAACCCUUAUCCUUUGUUGCCAGCGGUCCGGCCGGGAACUCAAAGGAGACUGCCAGUGAUAAACUGGAGGAAGGUGGGGAUGACGUCAAGUCAUCAUGGCCCUUACGACCAGGGCUACACACGUGCUACAAUGGCGCAUACAAAGAGAAGCGACCUCGCGAGAGCAAGCGGACCUCAUAAAGUGCGUCGUAGUCCGGAUUGGAGUCUGCAACUCGACUCCAUGAAGUCGGAAUCGCUAGUAAUCGUGGAUCAGAAUGCCACGGUGAAUACGUUCCCGGGCCUUGUACACACC